GCCUGGGUGGCUCAGUCGGUUGAGCAUCCGACUUCGGCUCAGGUCAUGAUCUCCUGGCUCGUGGGUUCGAGCCCCACGUUGGGCU
rfam:Felis catus isolate Cinnamon breed Abyssinian chromosome E2, whole genome shotgun sequence.